GCUGGGAGUGGUGGCGCACGCCUGUAAUCCCAGCUGCUUGGGAGGCUGAGGCAGGAGGAUCUCGAGUUCAAAGUCAGCCUCUGCAAUGGUGAGGCUAAGCAACUCAGUGAGACCCUGUCUCUA
rnacentral:sRNA from 1 species